GUCGGGAAUAUUGCGCAAUGGAGGAAACUCUGACGCAGUGACGCCGCGUAUAGGAAGAAGGUUUUCGGAUUGUAAACUAUUGUCCACAGGGAAGAAAAAAGACUGUACCUGUGAAGAAAGCUCCGGCUAACUACGUGCCAGCAGCCGCGGUAAUACGUAGGGAGCAAGCGUUAUCCGGAAUUAUUGGGUGUAAAGGGUGCGUAGACGGGAUAACAAGUUGGUUGUGAAACCCCUCGGCUCAACUGAGGAACUGCAACCAAAACUAUUAUUCUUGAGUGCAGGAGAGGAAAGUGGAAUUCCUAGUGUAGCGGUGAAAUGCGUAGAUAUUAGGAAGAACACCGGUGGCGAAGGCGACUUUCUGGACUGUAACUGACGUUGAGGCACGAAAGUGUGGGGAGCAAACAGGA
rnacentral:rRNA from 1 species